CUUUCAACAACGGAUCUCUUGGUUCUGGCAUCGAUGAAGAACGCAGCGAAAUGCGAUAAGUAAUGUGAAUUGCAGAAUUCAGUGAAUCAUCGAAUCUUUGAACGCACAUUGCGCCCCCUGGUAUUCCGGGGGGCAUGCCUGUUCGAGCGUCAUUACACCACUCCAGCCUCGCUGGGCGUUGGGCGCCGCGGC
rnacentral:rRNA from 1 species